rnacentral:rRNA from 1 species
AUUGAACGCUGGCGGCAGGCCUAACACAUGCAAGUCGAGCGAGCGGCGGACGGGUGAGUAAUGUAUGGGGACUGCCCGAUAGAGGGGGAUAACUACUGGAAACGGUAGCUAAUACCGCAUACUAUCGGCUAACAGAUAUGGGAUUAGCUGGUUGGUGGGGUAACGGCUCACCUAGGCAACGAUCCCUAGCUGGUCUGAGAGGAUGAUCAGCCACACUGGGACUGAGACACGGCCCAGACUCCUACGGAGGCAGCAGUGGGGAAUUUUGGACAAUGGGCGAAAGCCUGAUCCAGCCAUGCCGCGUGUAUGAAGAAGGCCUUCGGGUUGUAAAGUACUUUUAGUAGAGAAGCGUUAUCUACAGAAUAAGCACCGGCUAACUACGUGCCAGCAGCCGCGGUAAUAC